UAAGCAGCCACCAUGCUGCAAACUUGUGUCUCCAUGGGGUGUCAACAUCAGCACCUGCAUCUGCCAAAGAGGUAAUCCCUAAUUCAACAAUAGUUCCCUCCUUUGUACAAAUUUGUAAUGAGUUCCAGGGCCAAUUUUCAAACAAACUGGGGUCAGCAUUAACCAGUCACUUUGCACUGCUGCUUCAAAUAAUGAGUCUAGGACAAGCGCGUGUUUGUCUUAUACUCCGUCUACCCCGUCCGUAACUCUAUACUUGCCAGUAAAACCAUUCUGGUCGUCAUCAAACAGGUGCGAGUGGUUACUGAGUCUUAUUCUCUUCUUUCUCACUGAAGGCGAUGGCCUACUGAACUCUCUCUGGUUCCCUUCAACCUUGCGAUACAUUUUUCAUGAAUGAUAGCAUUUCAAUGUCAUGGGAACCAGCUGUGGGGC